AUCCUAUAGCUCUCCUAUAACUGUUCUGAGACCAGUGCAGACAGACAGCACCCUGGAGGUUAAGUCAUGCACUAAACAGGGAGCAAGGGAGCAUCCUAUAGCUCUCCUAUAACUGUUCUGAGACCAGUGCAGACAGACAGCACACUGGAGGUUAAGUCAUGCACUAAAUAGGGAGCAAGGGAGCAUCCUAUAGCUCUCCUAUAACUGUUCUGAGACCAGUGCAGACAGACAGCACACUGGAGGUUAAGUCAUGCACUAAAUAAGGAGCAAGGGAGCAUCCUAUAGCUCUCCUAUAACUGUUCUGAGACCAGUGCAGACAGACAGCACACUGGAGGUUAAGUCAUGCACUAAAUAGGGAGCAAGGGAGCAUCCUAUAGCUCUCCUAUAACUGUUCUGAGACCAGUGCAGACAGACAGCACACUGGAGGUUAAGUCAUGCACUAAAUAGGGAGCAAGGGAGCAUCCUAUAGCUCUCUAU